GUGGGGAAUUUUGGACAAUGGGCGAAAGCCUGAUCCAGCCAUGCCGCGUGCAGGAUGAAGGCCUUCGGGUUGUAAACUGCUUUUGUACGGAACGAAAAGACUCCUUCUAAUAAAGGGGGUCCAUGACGGUACCGUAAGAAUAAGCACCGGCUAACUACGUGCCAGCAGCCGCUGUAAUACGUAGGGUGCAAGCGUUAAUCGGAAUUACUGGGCGUAAAGCGUGCGCAGGCGGUUAUAUAAGACAGAUGUGAAAUCCCCGGGCUCAACCUGGGAACUGCAUUUGUGACUGUAUCGCUAGAGUACGGGAGAGGGGGAUGGAAUUCCGCGUGUAGCAGUGAAAUGCGUAGAUAUGCGGAGGAACACCGAUGGCGAAGGCAAUCCCCUGGACCUGUACUGACGCUCAUGCACGAAAGCGUGGGGAGCAAACAGGAUUAGAAACCCCUGUAGUCC
rnacentral:rRNA from 1 species